rnacentral:rRNA from 1 species
UUCUCAGUUCGGAUUGCAGGCUGCAACUCGCCUGCAUGAAGCUGGAAUCGCUAGUAAUCGCGGAUCAGCAUGCCGCGGUGAAUACGUUCCCGGGCCUUGUACACACCGCCCGUCACACCACGAGAGUUUGUAACACCCGAAGUCGGUGAGGUAACCUUUUGGAGCCAGCCGCCUAAGGUGGGACAGAUGAUUGGGGUGAAGUCGUAACAAGGUAGCCGUAUCGGAAGGUGCGGCUGGAUCACCUCCUUUCUAAGGA